CAAUGCUUUUUUUUACUUGAAGGGAAGUGGUAAAGGGAAGACCUGAGGUCCGAUCUCUUCAACACUAGUGAAGGGAGCAGACCCUAUGACAAAGGUAAGUGGUAAAGGAUUUUUGGUUUGCUACCAUGUUCUGCAUGUUUCCACCUCUGUUUCAAACACGACGCGAUAAAAUUGAAGACUUUUUCGGGGCACGUGUCAAAUGUAUUGCUAAUUCAUAGGCGAUGCUGAAAGUGGUUUCAUCCUCAUUUCUACGGUCUCUGUGCGCUAAUAUUUAAUGGUUUUCAUCGUGCAGCAACAUGGUAAACCAUUGUUGUGUCAAGACAUGCAAGCAACACUUUGAUUACAAGCCCCAACAUAAGCAGGGUGCAAAAUGGAAACUACACAGAACCUUGGUACGUCACCUGCGACGGCGACGUCACCUGCGAGUUCCGCGGAACCCCUGACGCCGUCACCAGCUGGACCAUCCGCGGCACUGGACCAUCCAGCGACGGCCGUGACGCCGUCACCAGCUGGACCAUCCGUGGCACUGGACCAUCCAGCGAAGGCCGUGACGCCGUCACCAGCUGGACCAUCCGCGGCACUGGACCAUCCAGCGACGGCCGUGACGCUGUCACCAGCUGGACCAUCCGCGGCCCUGGACCAUCCAGCGACGGCCGUGACGCCGUCACCAGCUGGACCAUCCGCGGCCCUGGGCCAUCCAGCGACGGCCGUGACGCCGUCACCAGCUGGACCAUCCGCGGCACUGGACCAUCCAGCGACGGCCGUGACGCCGUCACCAGCUGGACCAUCCGCGGCACUGGACCAUCCAGCGACGGCCGUGACGCCGUCACCAGCUGGACCAUCCGCGGCCCUGGACCAUCCAGCGACGGCCGUGACGCCGUCACCAGCUGGACCAUUCGCGGCACUGGACCAUCCAGCGACGGCCGUGGCGUCGACUCUGCCAGUGCCGGAGACGACGGCGACGUCACCUGCGAGUUCCGCGGAACCCCUGACGCCGUCACCAGCUGGACCAUCCGCGGCCCUGGACCAUCCAGCGACGGCCGUGACGCCGUCACCAGCUGGACCAUCCGCGGCACUGGACCAUCCAGCGACGGCCGUGGCGUCGACUCUGCCGGUGCCGGAGAGGUCGGCGACGUCACCUGCGCCGCUGGUGUCAACACCGCAUGGACACCAGCUGCGAGCUGGUAAACGGCGGUGGAGUGGAAGCAGAGCGCGCAAGCCACCAGCCAGCUGACUCAGAGCCCAGGGGGCGUUCGCCACCAACAUCCGCACGGCGCAGCUGCAGAGGUGAUUUCUGCCAUGGAGCAGCAUCCGCGGCUCCAUGACAUCAUCCUUCCAUCAUUCUCCAUCAUCAUUUCCGGAGCUCACCCGACGGCGGAGCUGGCCUUUUGGUGUUUUGUAUGAUGGUAAAACGUGCUUAUACCUUUUCUCUGUUACCAAUGGGCCCUAUUAGGUACUGCAUCUCCUGCAUUAUUAGGUAGAGAUGCAGUACCAUUAUUAGGUACUGCAUUAUUAGGUACUGAAGGAGAUGCAGUACCUAACAGAUGCUUUCAGUGAACUUGUAGAGUCGAGAUUUAACGUCAGGUGUUUGGCGUAUUUAGAUGAUUUUCUUUUCAUGUCCAAGGACGCUGAAUGGUAUCGCUGCGUUUCUGACUAGUGUUGGGUUGUGUAUUAAUUUCAAUAAAUGAGUUCUCGUUCCGUU